CGUCUAUAUACGUAUAGCAUAUCAAUAAGCGGAGGAAAAGAAACUAACUAGGAUUCCCUCAGUAACGGCGAGUGAAGCGGGAAGAGCUCAAAUUUGAAAUCUUCAAGGUUCUACCUUGACGAAUUGUAGUUUAAAGAAGUGUUUUCUGUUGGAGUUUUGGUAAAAGUUCUUUGGAAUAGGACAUCAUAGAGGGUGAGAAUCCCGUAUUUGACCAUUAUUUCCAGCUGUGUGAUACACUUUCAAAGAGUCGGAUUGUUUGGGAAUGCAGUCCAAAAUGGGUGGUAAAUUUCAUCUAAAGCUAAAUACUGGCGAGAGACCGAUAGCGAACAAGUACCGUGAGGGAAAGAUGAAAAGAACUUUGAAAAGAGAGUUAAACAGUACGUGAAAUUGUCAAAAGGGAAGCGUUUGACACCAGUGUUGUUUUCUCGAAAAUCAAUUAAAAAUGGCGGGAUUUUGUGUUGUAUUGACUUUAUCAGCUUUCUGCACUUUUUUCCUGUCUUUUUUGAUGCACUUUUCGUUUAACAAGUCAACAUCAAUUUCUUUUGUUGUAAAAGAGUCAUUGGAAGGUGGCUUUCUUUUCGGAGAAAGUGUUUAUAGCCUUUGCCUCUGCAAUCGGAGAGAUUGAGGUCUGCAGCGUAGAUCCUUCGGGGUUAGAUAGCAUUUGUGCUAAGUUAUAGCCUUUCAUAGACAACUUGUUGACUAUGAUCAGUCAUGUAGCUUACUCGCUUAUGCUAUUUUACCUACGCUUAGGAUGUUGACGAUCAGCUGAGCGCG
rnacentral:rRNA from 1 species